rnacentral:rRNA from 1 species
AGUGAACGCUGGCGGUAGGCCUAACACAUGCAAGUCGAACGGCAGCACAGUAAGAGCUUGCUCUUACGGGUGGCGAGUGGCGGACGGGUGAGGAAUACAUCGGAAUCUACUUUUUCGUGGGGGAUAACGUAGGGAAACUUACGCUAAUACCGCAUACGACCUACGGGUGAAAGCAGGGGAUCUUCGGACCUUGCGCGAUUGAAUGAGCCGAUGUCGGAUUAGCUAGUUGGCGGGGUAAAGGCCCACCAAGGCGACGAUCCGUAGCUGGUCUGAGGGGAUGAUCAGCCACAUUGGAACUGAGACACGGUCCAGACUCCUACGGGAGGCAGCAGUGGGGAAUAUUGGACAAUGGGCGCAAGCCUGAUCCAGCCAUACCGCGUGGGUGAAGAAGGCCUUCGGGUUGUAAAGCCCUUUUGUUGGGAAAGAAAAGCAGCAGGUUAAUACCCCGCUGUUCUGACGGUACCCAAAGAAUAAGCACCGGCUAACUUCGUG